AAUAAGUGCAGCCGUGGAUAUCCGUGUCCAACGUUUGACCGUUCGUCUUAUUUGAAAAAUUUGUGAAAAAUUUAAAAAUAUUUAGUCACACAUAAAGUACUAUUCAUGUUUUAUCAUCUAAUAGCAAUAAAAAUACUAAUCAUAAAAAAAAUCAAAUAAGACAAACGGUCAAACGUUGAACAUGAAUAGUGUAAAACUGCACUUAUU
rnacentral:pre_miRNA from 1 species